rnacentral:rRNA from 2 species
UGGGGAAUAUUGGGCAAUGGGGGGAACCCUGACCCAGCAACGCCGCGUGAAGGAAGAAGGUUUUCGGAUUGUAAACUUCUGUCCUUGGUGAAGAGGAAGAGACGGUAGCCAAGGAGGAAGCCCCGGCUAACUACGUGCCAGCAGCCGCGGUAAUACGUAGGGGGCAAGCGUUGUCCGGAAUGAUUGGGCGUAAAGGGCGCGUAGGCGGCCUGGUAAGUCUGGAGUGAAAGUCCUGCUUUUAAGGUGGGAAUUGCUUUGGAUACUGUCGGGCUUGAGUGCAGGAGAGGUAAGCGGAAUUCCCGGUGUAGCGGUGAAAUGCGUAGAGAUCGGGAGGAACACCAGUGGCGAAGGCGGCUUACUGGACUGUAACUGACGCUGAGGCGCGAAAGUGUGGGGAGCAAACAGG